rnacentral:lncRNA from 1 species
CACCUCAGUGUUAAAUAUGAACCCAAGCUUUGAAGACAGAAGAGCCGAGCUCCGCCCUUAAGAAACUUAACAUUCUCUUCAAAGAACACCACUAUGAAUUAAUUAAUCAGCAUCACUAAAAACAUCCACAAGUGUAACUGAGCCCAAGUGCAGGGCUCUAGGCAGGCUGUGUAACUGGGGCAACUGAUCAGAUGUGUGCUAGGCAGGCUGUGUAACUGGGGCAUCUGGUCGUGUGUGCAGGGUGUGACACUUAAACUGAGGUCUGAGCACUAACUGGGAGCUAACCAGACAGAGAGACAGAGCAGGCCCGGAAGAGAGACCAGCCAUACAGCAAGCCUUGAGAGGAGGCUGGCUCCCACCCCGGAUCAUGACAAAGUGACAGAAUUGGAGUCACUGGAUCAAAGGGAAUUAGGAAAUCUGCUUUUCAAUAAUCCAAGGAUCAAAUAAGAAAUUACAAUGGAAAUGAGAAUAUAUUUUGAAUACUAAAAACAUGUCAAAGUUCAUGGGUUGCAGUUAAAGCCUUGUUUUAGAAGGAAAUUUAUCACUUAAGAAGUUAAUAAAGACUGAAAAUCAAUUCA